rnacentral:rRNA from 1 species
AUUGAACGCUGGCGGUAGGCCUAACACAUGCAAGUCGAACGAGUGGCGGACGGGUGCGUAAUGUCUGGGAAUCUGCACGAUGGCUGGGGAUAACUACUGGAAACGGUAGCUAAUACCGCAUACCAUCAGAUGUGCCCAGAUGGGUUUGGCUGGUUGGUCGGGUAACGGCUCACCAAGGCGACGAUCCCUAGCUGGGCUGAGAGGAUGCCAAGCCAAACUGGAACUGAGACACGGUCCGUACUCGUACGGGAGGCAGCAUUGGGGAAUAUUGCAAAAUGGGCGCAAGCCUGAUGCAGCCAGGCCGCGUGUAUGAAGAAGGCCUUGGGGUUGUAAAGUACUUUCAGCGGGGAGGCGUUACCCGCAGAAGAAGCACCGGCUAACUCCGUGCCAGCAGCCGCGGUAAUAC